rnacentral:rRNA from 1 species
GAUGAACGCUGGCGGCGUGCCUAAUACAUGCAAGUCGAGCGAACGGACGAGAAGCUUGCUUCUCUGAUGUUAGCGGCGGACGGGUGAGUAACACGUGGAUAACCUACCUAUAAGACUGGGAUACCUUCGGGAAACCGGAGCUAAUACCGGAUAAUAUUUUGAACCGCAUGGUUCAAAAGUGAAAGACGGUCUUGCUGUCACUUAUAGAUGGAUCCGCGCUGCAUUAGCUAGUUGGUAAGGUAACGGCUUACCAAGGCAACGAUGCAUAGCCGACCUGAGAGGGUGAUCGGCCACACUGGAACUGAGACACAGUCCAGACACCUACGGGAGGAAGCAGUAGAGAAUCUUCCGCAAUGGGCGAAAGCCUGACGGAGCAACGCCGCGGGAGUGAUGAAGGUCUUCGGAUCGUAAAACUCUGUUAUUAGGGAAGAACAUAUGUGUAAGUAACUGUGCACAUCUUGACGGUACCUAAUCAGAAAGCCACGGCUAACUACGUG